GACGAACGCUGGCGGCGUGCUUAACACAUGCAAGUCGAACGGAAAGGCCCUGCUUUUGUGGGGUGCUCGAGUGGCGAACGGGUGAGGAACACGUGAGUAACCUGCCCUUGACUUUGGGAUAACUUCAGGAAACUGGGGCUAAUACCGGAUAGGAGCUCCUGCUGCAUGGUGGGGGGUGGAAAGUUUCGGCGGUUGGGGCUGGACUCGCGGCUUAUCGGCUUGUUGGUGGGGUAGUGGCUUACCAAGUCUGUGACGGGUAGCCGGCCUGGGAGGGUGACCGGGCACCUUGGGCCUGAGAGACGGAGCAGUGGGCAACGGUAGGCAGCAGUGGCGAAUAUUGCACAACGGGCCGAAGCCUGAGGAAGAAACGUCCCGUUCGUGAUGACGGCCUUUGGGUUAUAAACAGCUUUCGCCUGUGACGAAGCGUUAGUGACGGUAAUGGAUAAAGAAGCACCGGCUAACUACGUG
rnacentral:rRNA from 1 species